UACGAAGGGGGCUAGCGUUGCUCGGAAUCACUGGGCGUAAAGCGCACGUAGGCGGAUUACUAAGUCGGAGGUGAAAGCCUGGGGCUCAACCCCAGAAUUGCCUUCGAUACUGGUAGUCUCGAGUUUGGAAGAGGUGGGUGGAACUCCGAGUGUAGAGGUGAAAUUCGUAGAUAUUCGGAAGAACACCAGUGGCGAAGGCGGCCAACUGGUCCAAUACUGACGCUGAGGUGCGAAAGCGUGGGGAGCAAACAGG
rnacentral:rRNA from 1 species